rnacentral:misc_RNA from 1 species
GAAUUGCGAAAUGUAAUGUGAAUUGCAGAAUUCCGUGAAUCAUCGAAUCUUUGAACGCAUAUUGCGCUCUUUGGUCUUCCCAAGAGCAUGCCUGUUUGAGUAUCAGUAAACAAACACUCAUCUUCCAGAUGAGGAUAUGAGCAUUCGGGCUGCCUGUCAGCCUGUUGCUUGAAAUACAGUGGAGGUUGUCUUUGGCUACUUCUGGCUGGCGUAGUAGUUCUCGGUAGAGAUUCCAACGCCAUCAAAGUCAGAUUGUGCCGGCACUACCAUCGAUCAUUAAGCAAGGGGCGGCUAAAGGUCUUUAGCACUGCUCUUGAACUUGAUCUCAAAUCAGGCAAGACUACCCGCUGAAUUUAA